rnacentral:misc_RNA from 1 species
UAUAAAUCGUUGAAAAAUUCCCUCGACUAUCUUUCGUCUCCAUCAUCAGACUUUAAUGGUACUUGUAACUCAUAUAGGUGCAAAGUUCUCAUCAAUAGAACCGAAUUAAGAUCCACAAGCAGGUAAUUGCUAUAAAUUGUUGAAGAGUUCCCUCGACUAUCUUUCUUCUCCAUCAUCAGAUCGACUCCAGACCUUUAUUAAAUAGUAGUGCUUUAUAGUACUUAAUGAAAGCAUGAUUAAAUUUACUAGUCACCCUUACG